GUGCUCAGGGACAUGAUUUAGCGGAGGGUUGUUAGGGUAGUAUGGUUAGGUUGCGGUUGGACUCGAUGAUCUUUAAGGCCUUUUCCAACCUGAGCCGUUCUAUGAUUCUAUGACUGUCGGGCAGAGCUUGGUUCUGGAGUGUGGGGGCUGCUACAUUUCAUUUAAACCUGCCUUGGUGCAAAUCCAAUUGAGUUUGCCUCAUACUCAGCAGAUGUGAACUAUUUUCUGCAACACUUCAUUUUUGUAGAGGAAAAGGAUCCUGCUGAAACCCCAUCACUCUUUCAUGUAAAACAGAGAGCUUCACUCAGUGUGCUGUGGGAGCAACUGUGUAGUUGAUGGGCAUAACCCACAGGGGUCUGUCUGCAUAAAAUGAUGCCCUGAGGUGGGACUUGGGAUCACCAUUCUGCUCGUGGCCUCUGAGGGGCCUUCAGAGCCACCAGCACAGGGAGCUGGGGGCUGCUUGGGCUGUCCUACCGCCCCCUGCCUGGGCUGAGGGGGAUGGAAAGGCAAUGGCUGAAAUGUGACCGGAGAGUUGCUGAAUGGUGCAGGGGGAAGAGGCUCAGGUCUGCCUAAAAGCCCUCUCCCUUCGUUCUCCUUGCUAGGAUCCCAGAUUUGGCAAAGGUGAUCCUAAUCUUUGAACAUUUUCAUUUGUUUCUAGAUUCCCCUUAGUAGCACCAUGCUCUCUGAAGCUGAAGUGGGUUGUGUUGGGCUGCGGCUUCUAAGUCGGAAAUACUUAAUGUAGGUGGCUGGAUUUUGCACAGCGUAAAUUCAGCUGAAGCUGGGGAUUACAUCUAUUUUCUUCCAAUUAUUGCAUACUUCCACCUUAUUUUUUUCUUUAUUUUAGCCACAGCAAAAGAAAAGUGCUCUCUUGGCUGAGCUCUUUGGAGCCAUCAGAACCCAUCCCUGCCCUGAGGGACUUCACCUGAGGACGGACGAAGAACCAGAAGGAGCAAAAUCCUCUACCCUGCUGGUGGAAUGACGUGAUCCUUGGGUGCAGCCUCACUUGGGACUUCUGUUAUUCUUUGCACUGUGAGAAUAUAUUGAGCAACACCACAGCAGCAGGUGAUGAGAAGUGCCUUGCAGUGACUAACGCAGCUUUGUGCACUGGAUUUUACAAGCUCUCCUGUAUCUCGGCAUGUUUGUUUGAAGAAGCUAACUAAAUUACUGCAACAAGGUACAGAACAGUUUGUUGUUUGUUUGGACAGUUUGGAACUUCCUGCUCACAACAGAGACUGGAUAUGGCACAAUUCAGGAGCACUGCUCAGACCACCAAGUUUUCCUUGAUCAAACAGAUCAGUUUCCACAUCUUGUGUUCUAUGCAGCAUUCAGGCUUCAGCAUCAUAAGCUGUCAGUUCCACUAAUUCAUGGUAUCUUCCUCAAGGCUUAGUGCCACCCCUCCACAUUCUUCAGCUCCAUUAUUUGUACUGGCAGGGCAUUACUGCUUACAACAAAAUAUGUGCACAAUACGGCUGUAGCAAGUAAAGUGAAAUUGUCUACUUUAGGUUUCCAAAGCUUAACGAACAUUAUAGGUACCUUAUACUUUCAAAUCCAAACAUUCAUCUUACUGUUAUGGUCCCCUGCUAUUCUGGCUUGGGACCAAAUGUACCAUAAAAACUUCUAUUAUCGGUCUUGAGAAUCUGCUACAAUAAGUCUAAGAUGAGAUAAGACAGAACGGAAUUAGUUUAAGUAAUAAAUGUUUAAUCAAAGAAUUUUACAUAUUAUUAACAGCAUUCAUUUGGCCAAACAUCUACAUGGUUGUAGUAUCCUACUUGUAUAUAAAGUGGGAAUGUAUCAAGUAUAGACUAUGAAAGUGCAAAUAACAAUUCAAGGUUAGAGUAAUUUUUUACAUUAUAAAAUUAACAGGUUUACAAAAUAGUCUUGCCAAACUUUAUUUUUGAAUUGUAAAGUCAAUGACUAUGGUGUUAAAAUAAGUACCAAGAAAAUACAAAUUUAAUAGGCUAAUUUCAUGCUCGUAAGAGUAACACGGAAACAAUGAAUAUACUGCACAACCUAACCAAAUUACAAAAAACCAGAACCCACAAACUUCACUAUCUUCACAGAGAGCACUCUUACGUAUCUUACUGUAGCUUUGCAAGACAUCUCAAUGCAAUACACACAAUCUUUGUGAGAAUCUCCCUAUCCAGAAAUUCAAGGAAGCUACGUGAGCUAAAAAACUUUCAGACCAAUUCACGUUGACAGUUCACAAGGAACUGCUUUCCUUGAAGGAUUUUAUACCGUAGGACAAUUUUAAAUAGGUAUUUUGCAAAGAUGUCCAAAAGUUCAUGAUUAUGUCAGGAAAGGGACAGCUAGAGGAAAAGCUGGUCAAUGAGUUGAGACUAUUCUAUUCCGUUCUCUCUAAAGAUGCUUGCAAAAUGAUCUAGGUUCUUAAGGGGUAAGGGUAAAAUAUUCUUACUUCCUUUUUUACUAAUACGAACCUUGUGACUGCAAGGUUCAAAAGCAGGAUUUGCAUGAAUUCAAAACACUCACUUGAACUCACAGUAAUCAAUACAUAAACUUUGCUAUCAUGACACUUGCCUAUACACACUCAGUAGUAAUAAACUUUUAUAUCAUAUCAAGAAAUUUCUGGUAACAGUUAAGCAAAACUUAAAAUGGAGUGUAUGUAAUUUGCCUGUGUUAUGAAAAGGUUUGAUUAUAUGUAAUUAAAACAGCCAUUUCAACAACUUACUCUAGUUGUAAUUACAUACUGUACCAUUGUAUCUCACUAACUGUAGAUUGAUGCUUUUAAGCAAAUCUAAAACCAGUAUUUUUUUUAUUUUCACGGUACAACAACUAGGAGGAGGGUUUUUUUGUGUGUGUUUUUUUAACACUAAACAGUAAUCACACAGCAAAUGAAUAUUGUGCAAUUGAACAAAUACCUAGCAGUGUUUUGUUUAUGCAAAAACACUGAUUAAACAUUUAGUUAUUUACUGUAAAGGCAAGGCCAUGGGUGGUUGUAUGGAGGUCUUUGCAAUUAAUAGCAUAGUUACUCCAGAACAGACACUGAAACUGAAUUACUUGUUUAACUGUGGCAACUAUCCAGUUGGGUUUGGCAAAGGCACCGUAACAUGUUGAGCAGAAUCUGUUGUCUGAACUUUAACUGUGGGACUGGCUAAUAUAUGAAAAUCCUGUAUUCCUACAUUUUUAUAAAAUGUUAUCGUUAAAAGUAAUUGCACUAUUAGUGCAUAGAAUGCUUUGUAGAAUUAUGAAAACAAAGAACUAUGAUUGCACUUCCAUUAAAGUGUCUCUUAAAAUACAGCAUAGCUGUUGCUAAUUGACUGUAUUUUAAUAUUUAAAAUAACUGUUUAACAGCAGCAUUAGGUUUUAUUAACUUAAGAUACAGGCUACAUUUGAUUAAAUGCAGUCACCAUGGCAACACAUGCCAGUUAAAUUUAGAGAAGCAAUGCUACCCAGUGGUUUCUUUCACUGCUAAGAAUUGUGGGAUUAGUUUGAUAGAGUAACACCGCGCUGUUUGAUCAGGCUACUGCCAGCUAACUAUUCACAGUUUGGCACGUUUGGACUGUAAAUAGACAUGAAAAAAUCUUUGAUUUUAAUGUGAAGGAAUAUCCCCUAAAACGUGUUCCUGGAGCAGUACUAAAGAGAAGCAUUAAAUACCUCAGUUCACACUGCUAACAAAAAGGACAAACGAGUAAGGAAAGGUUAUGGAAAACAGAACAAAAACCCCAAAUAAAUUGCGAAGUGUUAUUUUGGGGAAAGAAUGAGUUAAAAAAAAAAAAAAAAAAAAGAAUAAACUAUUUCUUAGGAAAAACAACCAAAAUAA